GCACCUAGCUGCUCCAUACCACAGAAGGUAGCAUUUAAAGGAACUGGGGUAGAUCUGCCAAGAGAAGACUUAAGGGGUGCAAAGGGGGGCGCAAAAGGAAGGCAGACUGCCACGUGCAGCGCCUCAUUUGGAUGUGUCUGGAGUCUUGGAAGCUUGACUACCCUACGUUCUCCUACAAAUGGACCUUGGGAGCUUGUUCUAGCAGGGGAGCGCAGCUACUCGUAUACCCUUGACCGAAGAACGGUACGCCUCUAUCGGGGAAGGUCGUCCUCUUCGACCGAGCGCGCAGCUUCGGGAGGGACGCACAUGGAGCGGUGAGGGAGGAAGGGGACACCCGCCUAGCCAGCCAGAUCAGCCGAAUCAACCCUGGCGAUCAAUGGGGUGACAGAUGUCGCAGCCAGAUCGCCCUCACAUCCAGCAAGCACAGCGGGCGCGUUCACUAUAUAGAGCCGAAA